UAUUAAAAAAAAUCAUGACAGCUGUGAUGGAAACAGGAAGCUUUAGUACAAUUUUAUAAAUGCAGACAGAUAAUUUGUUGUUUGACAAGGUGGGAUCUUUUUGUGUCAAUAAAAUGUAUUAUGCGAGAAAUGGUGGUGGAAAUGCCUUUAUGAUGGUCCAUUCCAAUAAAUAUUGAAGGUCUUAUUCUAGUGACAUGACGAUUGAUGGUUGACUGCCGUUUGACAAAUAAAAAUAUUCUCGCUCUAAUCCAUAAUAAUCUCAUCAUGUAGACUAACCUACCUGCACCACCUGCCUGCACCGUAUCUGCGAGCUGUUGACUGACUAGAGCACGGUGCAUUUGCUAUUUAACUCAACAGUUUUUAUAUUUUAGCCAUUUAGCUGACACUCUUAUCCAGAGUGACUUAUUGUAGUGAGUGCAGACAUUUUCAAACUUUUCUUCCAUACUGUUUUUUGUAACAGUUGAAAGUGCGAUGGGUUGAAAGUGCGAUGGAAACACAUUGAACUUUAUAGAUGUUUAUUCAGAACAUGAAAACUUAAGCGAAAAAGUACAUUUUGUGUGCACUACGUCAUCACACUGAUUUUUAUCUGCAACAAGUCAGUUUGGUGGAAACACACCACUGGUGGGGAAAUGUGCUUAUGUUCUUCAUGCAGAUUUUAGAAUAUUAGCAUAAAAAUCUGUUGCCAACUGGACGGAAACCUAGCUAUUGUUUAAGGUAGAUUUGUGGCAGUGCUUUUCUAACCAGGGGGGUGUAUGUGUUUCAGAGUAUGUGGGUUUUUAAUGAAAAUAGCUAGGCAGACAACGGUAUACAGUAUCUUUGACAAACAAAAGCAGACAAAGUCAUACUACAGGAGAUGUCAUCCCUUUUAGAGCAGGCCUACACAUAAUGGGUUUAACAGAGAGAGGGAGAGAGGACAAAUUAGUGCCAAGGAAGUGUAUUGGCGACAUCAGGGUUGUGUAAGAAUGCAAGUGAAGUACAGAAAACAUAAGUUGUUACACAAUUGGUGUGACUCAGGCAUGAUUUAAAAGGGAAAAGGAAAGGGGGAUACCUAGUCAGUUGCACAACUGAAAUGUGUCUUCUGCAUUUAACCCAACCCCUCUGAAUCAGAGAGGUGUAGGGGAGCUGCCUUAAUCGACAUCCACGUCUUCAGCGCCCGGGGAACAGUGGGUUAAUUGCCUUGCUCAGAGGCAGAACGACAGAUUUUUACGUUGUCAGCUCGGGGAUUCGAUCCAGCAACCUUUCAGUUACUGGCCCAACGCUCCUACCCGCCGGGCUACAAAAAGCCUGUGUACCACAUGUGCAGCACACGUGGAACCACUCAUCGCCACAUAUCACAGUGGUGUAGGCAUAAUUCUUUGCAUCCCAGGUGAACUGUAAAAAUUGACAACACUUUUUUUGUGUGUAUUUCCAUUCUGACAGACUACAUAAUGAUAACAACACCCAGUCAUCAAACUCAAUGAGAUAAUUUGUGUGUCAGUGUGUGUGUGCAUGUGCAUGUUUGUGUGCUCCUCUCCAGGUAGAGUGCUCCUCUAGGUAGAGUACUCCUCUCUAGGUAGAGUGCUCCUCUCUAGGUAGAGUGCUCCUCUAGGUAGAGUACUCCUCUCUAGGUAGAGUGCACCUCUCUAGGUAGAGUGCUCCGCUCUAGGUAGAGUGCUCCUCUCUAGGUAGAGUGCUCCUCUAGGUAGAGUACUCCUCUCUAGGUAGAGUGCUCCUCUCUAGGUAGAGUGCUCCUCUCUAGGUAGAGUGCUCCUCUCUAGGCAGAGUACUCCUCUCUAGGUAGAGUACUCUGCUCUAGGUAGAGUACUCCUCUCUAGGUAGAGUGCUCCUCUCUAGGUAGAGUGCUCCUCUCUAGGUAGAGUACUCCUCUCUAGGUAAAGUGCUCCUCUCUAGGUAGAGUCAUUUUCUCUAGGUAGAGUACUCCUCUCUAGGUAAAGUGCUCCUCUCUAGGUAGAGUGCUCCUCUUUAAGUAGAGUGCUUUUUUCUAGGUAGAGUACUCCUCUCUAGGUAGAGUACUCCUCUCUAGGUAGAGUGCUCCUCUCUAAGUAGAGUACUCCUCUCUAGGUAGAGUACUCCUCUCUAGGUAGAGUGCUCCUCUCUAGGUGAAUGCUACUUCUUCCUCAUCAGGGUCCUACUUUUAGCCAGAGCUAUUUGUUUUUGCACUCUGUUACUAAGCAACAUCACAGACCCUUCUCACAGAAAGGCCGUUAUGAAAACAUGUGUACAGUGGAGGAAAGGGCAUACUUAGUCAGUUGCACAACUGAAUGCAUUCAACUGAAAUGUGUCUUCCUCAUUUAACCCAACUCAUCUGAAUCAGAGAGGUGCGGGGGGCUGCCUUAAUCGACGUCCACGUCAUCGGCACCCAAGGAACAGUUUUUGUUGAGGGUUAACUGCCUUGCUCAAUGGCAGAACGGCAGAUUUGUCCACCUUGCCGGCUC
rnacentral:lncRNA from 1 species